rnacentral:tRNA from 1 species
GCCUUCGUUGUGUAAUGGUCAGCACACUGAGCCGGUAUUUCAGAGGUCCGUGGUUCGAUCCCCGGCGAAGGAA